UGGUUUCUCUUCAGAUUGUAUAAAUCUUUUGCCUUUUACUAAAGAUUUCCGUGGAGAAGAACGUUUAU
rnacentral:snRNA from 1 species